rnacentral:rRNA from 1 species
UACGUAGGGUGCAAGCGUUGUCCGGAAUUAUUGGGCGUAAAGAGCUCGUAGGCGGUCUGUCGCGUCUGCUGUGAAAAUCAGGGCUCAACCCUGGACCUGCAGUGGGUACGGGCAGACUAGAGUGCGGUAGGGGAGAUCGGAAUUCCUGGUGUAGCGGUGAAAUGCGGCAGAUAUCAGGAGGAACACCGGUGGCGAAGGCGGAUCUCUGGGC